rfam:Opisthorchis viverrini opera_v5_290.26, whole genome shotgun sequence.
CCCAAGGCUCUAUUCAGAGCCACUUUUGGGCAGACAACCUUAAUA